GUACUUUUAAAUAAGUCAAAACUUUCAACAACGGAUCUCUUGGUUCUGGCAUCGAUGAAGAACGCAGCGAAAUGCGAUAAGUAAUGUGAAUUGCAGAAUUCAGUGAAUCAUCGAAUCUUUGAACGCACAUUGCGCCCAUUAGUACUCUAGUGGGCAUGCCUGUUCGAGCGUCAUUACGACCCUUAAGCCUAGCUUAGUAUUGGGAACCUACGUGCGGCAGCUACCCUGUAGCUACCCUGUAGCUCCUUAAAGACAACGGCGGAGACGUGGAGUCCUCUGAGCUUAGUAACUUUUCUAGCUUCUGAAGGCGCCGCGGCCCCUGCCGUAAAACCCCCAACUCUUUAGUGGUUGACCUCGGAUCAGGUAGGAAUACCCGCUGAACUUAAGCAUAUCAAUAAGCGGAGGAAAAGAAACCAACAGGGAUUGCCUUAGUAACGGCGAGUGAAGCGGCAACAGCUCAAAUUUGAAAGCUGGCCUUCGGGUCCGCGUUGUAAUUUGUAGAGGAUGCUUUUGGUUAGGUGCCUUACGAGUUCCCUGGAACGGGACGCCUUAGAGGGUGAGAGCCCCGUACGUUUGGUUACCGAGCCUCUGUAAAGCUCCUUCGACGAGUCGAGUAGUUUGGGAAUGCUGCUCUAAAUGGGAGGUAAAUUUCUUCUAAAGCUAAAUACCGGCCAGAGACCGAUAGCGCACAAGUAGAGUGAUCGAAAGAUGAAAAGCACUUUGAAAAGAGGGUUAAAUAGCACGUGAAAUUGUUGAAAGGGAAGCGUUUAUGACCAGACUUUUUCCUGGCGGAUCAUCCGGUGUUCUCACCGGUGCACUU
rnacentral:rRNA from 1 species